rnacentral:rRNA from 1 species
GAGGAAUAUUGGUCAAUGGGCGAGAGCCUGAACCAGCCAAGUCGCGUGAAGGAUGACUGUCUUAUGGAUUGUAAACUUCUUUUAUACGGGAAUAACAAGAGCCACGUGUGGCUCCCUGCAUGUACCGUAUGAAUAAGCAUCGGCUAACUCCGUGCCAGCAGCCGCGGUAAUACGGAAGGUCCGGGCGUUAUCCGGAUUUAUUGGGUUUAAAGGGAGCGUAGGCUGGAGAUUAAGUGUGUUGUGAAAUGUAGACGCUCAACGUCUGACUUGCAGCGCAUACUGGUUUCCUUGAGUACGCACAACGUUGGCGGAAUUCGUCGUGUAGCGGUGAAAUGCUUAGAUAUGACGAAGAACUCCGAUUGCGAAGGCAGCUGACGGGAGCGCAACUGACGCUGAAGCUCGAAGGUGCGGGUAUCGAACAGGAUUAGAUACCCUGGUAGUCCGCACAGUAAACGAUGGAUGCCCGCUGUUAGCGCCUGGCGUUAGCGGCUAAGCGAAAGCAUUAAGCAUCCCACCUGGGGAGUACGCCGGCAACGGUG